rnacentral:piRNA from 1 species
UGGAACAAUAAGAUAUGUACUGGCCCAGGA